AUGUGGAAUGAGCACCACCCUCUGCUGAGUGGAAAUGAAGCCAGCGCUGCUGCCCUGCCUUGGUGUCUCCAGAGAAAUGUAGCAAGGAGGCAGGUACGACAACGUAUUUCAGAGGCCCUAUCAGUGACGCCGAUAGAAACAGCCAGCUCCUUCGGGAGUCAGGUACGACAGCGUAUUAUUUCAGAGGCCCUAUCGGUGACGCCGAUGGAAACAGCCAGCCACUUCGGGAGGCAGGUACGACAGCGUAUUAUUUCAGAGGCCCUAUCGGUGAUGCCGAUGGAAACAGCCGGCCCCUUCGGGAGGCACGCACGACAGCGUAUUAUUUCAGAGGCCCUAUCGGUGACGCUGAUGGAAACAGCCGGCCCCUUCGGGAGGCACGCACGACGACGUAUUAUUUCAGAGGCCCUAUCGGUGACGCCAAUGGAAACAGCCGGCCCCUUCGGGAGGCACACACGACAACGUAUUAUUUCAGAGGCCCUAUCGGUGACGCCGAUGGAAACAGCCAACCCCUUCAGGAGGCAGGUACAACAACGUAUUUCAGAGGCCCUAUCGGUGACGCCGAUAGAAACAGCCGGCCCCUUCGGGAGGCACGUAUGUCAACGUAUUUCAGAGGCCCUAUUGGUGAUGCCGAUAGAAACAGCCAGCCCCUUCCGGAGGCACGCACGACAACGUAUUAUUUCAGAGGCCCUAUCGGUGACGCCGAUAGAAACAGCCGGCCCCUUCGGGAGGCACGCACGACAACGUAUUAUUUCAGAGGCCCUAUCGGUGACGCCGAUAGAAACAGCCGGCCCCUUCGGGAGGCACGCACGACAACGUAUUAUUUCAGAGGCCCUAUCGGUGACGCCGAUGGAAACAGCCGGCCCCUUCCGGAGGCACGCACGACAACAUAUUAUUUCAGAGGCCCUAUCGGUGACGCCGAUGGAAACAGCCGGCCCCUUCGGGAGGCACGCACGACAACGUAUUAUUUCAGAGGCCCUAUCGGUGACGCCGAUGGAAACAGCCGGCCCCUUUGGGAGGCACGCACGACAACGUAUUAUUUCAGAGGCCCUAUCGGUGACGCCGAUAGAAACAGCCGGCCCCUUCGGGAGGCACGUACAACUACGUAUUUCAGAGGCCCUAUCAGUGACGCCGAUAGAAACAGCCAGCCCCUUCGGGAGGCACGUACGACUACGUAUUUCAGAGGCCCUAUCGGUGACGCCGAUAGAAACAGCCGGCCCCUUCGGGAGGCACGUAGGACAACGUAUUUCAGAGGCCCUAUCAGUGAUGCCGAUAGAAACAGCCAGCCCCUUCCUGCCCUUCUGUGCAUCUUCUCCAGUGGAUAUGGACUGGGGAGGGGCUGUAAGGGGAGAAGUGGCAGUGGGGGCGCUGAGGGAGGGACAGCUCAAAGUGCCAAAAGGGCUCUGUGUGUAAAGAACAUGGACACAGGCCAGCAGAAGCCAGGCUGCCCCACUUCACAGAUGGUUUAGAAGAAUUUCAUUUGAAUUUAUUUCAGAGAAACAAGUUGUCUUUUUAAUUCAGGCAAUUAACUGUGCUCUGCAGUUAUCUGCAGUGGUUGGGUUACUUUUUUUUUUUUUUGAGACGGAGUCUCGCUUUGUCACCCAGGCUGAAGUGCAAUGGUGUGAUCUCGGCUCACUGCAACCUCUGCCUCCUGGGUUCAAGCAAUUCUCUUGCCUCAGCCUCCGGAGUAGCUGGGAUUACAGGCACUCGCCACCACACCCGGCUAAUUUUUGCAUUUUUAGUAGAGACGGGGUUUCACCAUGUUGACCAGGAUGGUCUCGAACUCCUGACCUCAGAGGAUCCUCCUGCCUCGGCCUCCCAAAGUGCUGGGAUUACAGGUGUGAGCCACCAUACCCAGCCUGAGUUACUUUUAUAACCCUCCUGUUUCCUUUUCAAAAAAUAAAACCCGAUGGCUGCUUUUGCAGUGCUAGGUAGGGGGUCAUCAAAUGGAGCCGUCCUGAUUUGGAGUCGGAAAGUAAAAUUCCUCUUCCUCCAAAGAGGCAGUGUCUUCACAUCUCACGAGGUCUAGCUCCUGCCAUGGGCAUCUGGACAGGAGGCUCUGGAGUCUUCUGAUUGGUUCCCAUCUGUAAACUAAGCUCAAAAACACGUCUUAAAUACCUCGGGCAGAAAGAGCUCCCUGACGAUGCGGAGUCACAGUUGCCCUUUUUAGAUACACGCGUUUGGGUCCAAACUCACAGUCGCUGUGUUCUGUCCACACCCCUGUCACCCCAGGCUUCUCUAUCUGAGAUGUGCACAGAAACCCAGACAGGACCAGUCGGCACUGUGUGCUGCGUGCUGCCUCCUGACCAGUCUGUGUGACACCGUCGGGGCUCUUCUGGCCAGACAGCUCACAAUCCAGAUGUAGAGACUGAAGCAUAGAGAGGUUAAGGGUCACCCAUCUAGUAAGUAGCAGUGCCAAGAUUCCGCGAUUCAAACUCCACAAUGCAACUUCUUCACCGCUAACUCUACUAUCAGAGGAGCUGGUGCCUUUGGAGGUAGUUUGCUUUCCCAUAGACACUGGUCUAAACACUGCCCAUGUACCGUCUCAGGUAACCUUCCUGACAGUCUUUGAGGGAGGCACUGUUAGUUUGCUCGUUUUACAGAUGGAGAAACUGAGGGCCAGAGAAGCUCGGUGGGCCAAGGGUACACAGCAGAGACUGCCCCAUGCAGUGGGAAGCGUGUGGAAUAGAGCUGGAGGGCUGGGCUCUUAUCCCAACCCUGCUGGUGGGCAUCUGCAUACCGUGGGUUCAGUCAUGUAAACACCUCAUCUCCUCAUCAGCCAAGUGGACAUGAUAAUGGACUUUUCCGGGGUUGGCGGGAGGUGUCCCUGGAGGAGUACAUGAGAAAGCACCGCAUCAGUGUAACCCACGCGGUACAGGGUCCCGGAUGACAAACUCUGUGGGGGCUGAGGAAAGAUGCUUGAAUGCCAAGA